AGUACCCCGCCUGGGGAGUACGACCGCAAGGUUGAAACUCAAAGGAAUUGACGGGGGCCCGCACAAGCGGUGGAGUAUGUGGUUUAAUUCGACGCAACGCGAAGAACCUUACCAGGUCUUGACAUUGAUGGACAGAACUAGAGAUAGUUCCUCUUCUUCGGAAGCCAGAAAACAGGUGGUGCACGGUUGUCGUCAGCUCGUGUCGUGAGAUGUUGGGUUAAGUCCCGCAACGAGCGCAACCCCUAUCUUAUGUUGCCAGCACGUAAUGGUGGGAACUCAUGAGAGACUACCGCAGACAAUGCGGAGGAAGGCGGGGAUGACGUCAAAUCAUCAUGCCCCUUAUGACCUGGGCUACACACGUACUACAAUGGGCUUUAAUAAAGGGAAGCGAAGUCGCGAGGCGGAGCAAACCCCAGAAACAAGCUCUCAGUUCGGAUCGUAGGCUGCAACUCGCCUACGUGAAGUCGGAAUCGCUAGUAAUCGCAGGUCAGCAUACUGCGGUGAAUACGUUCCCGGGCCUUGUACACACCGCCCGUCACACCACGAAAGUCAUUCACACCCGAAGCCGGUGAGGUAACCGCAAGGAGCCAGCCGUCGAAGGUGGGGGCGAUGAUUGGGGUGAAGGCGUAACAAGGUAGAGCUCUCAGUCAGUCAA
rnacentral:rRNA from 1 species